rnacentral:tRNA from 2 species
GUGAGUGUAGCUCAGUUGGCAGAGCACCAGACUGUGGCUCUGGCUGUCGCGGGUUCAACCCCCGUCACUCACCCCA